UUUUGUGCUUCCCGCGUGUGGGGCUAAUAGGACAGCUGUUAGCUCGUCCCAUUAUCUCCAAAAACGAGCCCAAACCCCAUUUCGCUAUUCUUGCUCCUGCCCUCACUCCGAGACUCGAGCCUAAGAAGCGAGAACCCCCUGAAUUCCGUUCUACACUUCUACUCCAUCCAUCCGAGCUCAGAUUCAGCUCUCUCUCUAGCACCGGCGAGGGCUCCGGCCACUUCACUGUUGCGAGACAGAGGAAGUGAGUUUAAUCACCCACCACCGGCCAUCUCUGGCAACCACCGGCCAUCUCUGGCAACCACCGGCAAGUGCAUAAUUGAAAGUGCUUAAUCUGUUUGGGUGCACUCAGGUAUGUUUGUGCAUGUUAGAAACACUAAUUUGUUUUGUGAAACAUCACAUUUGAGCCAUAUUGUGAAAAAGAGAGAGAAAAGAAAAGCUCACCACCUGAUAUGCACUUGCCGGUGGUUGCCAGAGAUGGCCGGUGGUGGGUGAUUAAACUCACUUCCUCUGUCUUGAAAUGAAAAAAAAAAAAUGUCAAAUAAAAUCAAACCCUAAAAAAGUGUAAAAGAUAUGAGAGAAUUGGAGAGCACCUUGCGACGGUGAAGUGGCCGGAGCUCAUGCCGGUGCCAGAGAGGGAGCUGAAUCCGAGCUCGGAUAGAUGGAGAAGAAUGGGUUCAGGGGUUCUCGCUUCUCAGGCUCGAGUAAGGGUAAGAGCAGGAAUAGUGAAAAUGGGGUUUGGGCUCAUUUUGGAGCUAACAGAGCGAGCUAACGACUGUCCUGUUAGCCCCACACACAGGAAGCACAAAAUCGUGCAUCUGAACAUGUGGCACACUCGGAAUGCCAAUUGCAGCCUAAGUCUGCAAUUAAUUGGGCCUGACUCUGCCAAACUUGCUCAAGCCACAGACUAUAUUGUUUAAUGGGAUGCCUUAAAGUGAGCUGGUGGUGCCCUUCUUUUGGAAAGUAAAUUUGUUUGUAAAACCCACUUGUCCAAAGAGGGAUUGAAGUAAGUAUGAGAAAUAAUUGGGCCUGACCCUUCCAUGUCCCGGGCCCACCCAGUAGGACAAAGGCUCAAGUGCAAUCCAUCCCGGACAACCUGUACCUGUCCUGCCAGAGUUAAUGGAAUGUCUUAAAUUGGGCCAUUAUGUUGGGCAACGAGUAUGAUAUUCUACCUUGUAGUUUUGUACAUUGUAUUUGAAAUAAUUUAUUUGUUAGUCUUAUCUAAGAAAACUGGUUGGACAACAAGUCUUGAGGAAUGAAUUUCUAACGUUAGUUGAAUA